CCCUGUCUGAUUCUCACACAAAAUAUAAAAUCUUUCUCUGCCCGGCGGGUCGGCCUUGUUUAAUUCUAAAACCUAAGAAUAGACAUCAGGCGAAACUGAGUUGAAAUGGAGGACUACAGAGACGGGAAGCUAAGCAUAUACAGAGCAGCAAGAAGCAUAAAACGCAGAGACAACACAGUCUACAACGCAUUACGAUCAAUCCACGAAGACUCAAUAUUUGUGGGCGAAAUCUCUCAAUUAUGGCCAGACCUUCCUCUUAUAGCCAACCUCCGCUGUGGCCUCUGGUACUCUCCAAAAUUCCAUUCUACUUGUUACUUCAAAUCCACUGAUGGUCACACCAACAAUUGGUCCUUCAAUACCUCUCGCCUUAAUCUCCAUGUUGCUCUUCUAUCUGGACAGAAAGGAGGUUGUAUUAUCGUGGAUUCUACUCGCAAAGGGAAGAGGUUUCCUGAUAGCAUGUCCAAAACAAUACCCAUUUGGACGUGUGUUUUGAACCGUGCUAUUCUUAAUUAUAGAAAUAAAAUGCUUGAUUCUGGUUUGCUGAUGAAUAGGGAGGUGGCAGAUUAUUCUAACUGUGCUGAAGAUGUAAAACUAAAAAAUCAUAAUUGGGAUUGUUCUUUGCACUUACCACUUUGGGUUCCAGAUACAGAGAAAGCGGCAAUUGAGGAACGUAUAGAAAAAUGGACUAACCAGUUGGAAGCAAGUGGAGCUGAUAUUGCAUCUAUUUCUUCCUGCUUGAAAAAACCUAUACGCCCUUUAUGGAUAUCACAGAAGACUGUAAUCUGGUUAAAUGAAGUACCUGAUCAUAAUCAGUGGGAUUUCACUCCUAUUAUACUUGUUUCUGCUUCUUCUUCAAGUGAUGUUUUUCGAAAUAAGACUACCUCAGAGUUUAGCUGGAAUUAUAUUCCAGGAGCUGGAGACGAUGAAGAAAGUUGGGCAAGGGGUUUGACACCCACCCAUUUCUGGAGUCAUGUGCAUGAUCUUAUUAGUUCAGGACCUGAUCUUUGUAACCAAAAGGUAGCUGAUAUAGUUGAAAAGGAUAGAGUAUAUCGUGCUCAUAGGGGAGAGUAUGCUCCUCAAGUUACUGUCAAGAAUCUGAAGAUGGCUGGUGAUGGGGCUGAUGUUUCUAAUGUAGAACUACCAUUAGCUUUAAAUAUGCAUAGUGAUGAUACUACUUUACAGCCAUCUAAUGAUUAUUGUUCAACAUUUUGGAUAGGAUCAACCAAUCUUGUUGUAGGAACAACUAAACAUGGUGCACUUAUGUCUAAUGUUGAUUGCAUAUUGAACUGUGAUAAAGAACCAGUCUCUAUCAAUCUUCCAGAUUCUGAAGCCCAUUUGCAUCUUCCUAUGGUGAGCUCGAAACUGGAUAGGUUUUCCUUGUUCAACAAUCUUCCAGCUGUGGUGAACUUUGCAAAAUUGAAUCUUAGAAAAGCACAUAGACUUCUAGUUUGUUGCCGUAGUGGUGAAGAUAUCAGCGUGUGUGUUUGUCUAGCUAUUUUGACAUCAUUAUUUGAUGAUAAAGGAACUUUUGAUGAUGGAAGAUCUUUCAGCGAAACAUGUAUUACUAAAUUGGAGAUGCGGCGUCGACUUGUAUUUGUCUGUAAAUUUGCAAUAACUGCUCGACCAUCAAGAGGAAAUUUGAAACAGAAAACACACCACUAGCGGGGAGGGUGACAGGAAAUCGAACUAAGAAAGCAGCAUGGACCCCAUUUUGGGAAUGGAGGUGAGUGUUUGCAGGAUUUAUUCGUCGAGUUCUUUCCUUGCAUUAAAUAGGGAUUUAUCUUUUGGUGUGACACAUAUAACAAGAAGAAGAAGAAGGAGCCGCUGGUAGAGUCAAUCCCAUCAUCUUUAAAAUACUCUGUUAUUUUUCUGUUCUUUUGCACGCUCCUUGGAUUAUUCUUACAUCAUAAACAAACUGGUGGAUUGGGAUGAAAGUUGAGGAAGUCCCACCUCGCACGUCUAAAUCCCACUUUGUUACACUAAUCAAUCAAUCAAUCCAUCCAUAACUUGGAUUGCAAUGAAA